rnacentral:rRNA from 1 species
GACGUAGGGCGCGAGCGUUGUCCGGAUUUAUUGGGCGUAAAGAGCUCGUAGGCGGCUUGUCGCGUCGUUCGUGAAAACCCACGGCUCAACUGUGGGCUUGCGGUCGAUACGGGCAGGCUGGAGUUCGGUAGGGGAGACUGGAAUUCCUGGUGUAGCGGUGAAAUGCGCAGAUAUCAGGAGGAACACCAGUGGCGAAGGCGACUUUCUGGCCUGUUCUUGACGCUGAGGCGCGAAAGCUAGGGGAGCAAACGGG